ACAGCAUGGGCUCUUCUCGACCUACCUGAUCUUUUCCUAUGACCAGAUGACCCAUCUGGUGGGUGAGGAAAAGGCUUUUGAUGUAUUCUACUUAGACUUCAGUAAAUCCCUUGACUCUGUCUUCCAGUUUUCUCUUGAAGAAACUAGCUGGUCAUUAUUUAGACAGUUGUACCAUUUGCUAAGUAAAAAACUGGCUGGAGAGCUGAGACCAGAGAGUGGUGGUGAAUGGAAUGAAAUUGAGCUGGUGAUCAGUCAGGAGCGGUGUUCCCCAGGAGUCAGUACUGGGGCCUGUUCUGAUGUUCAAUCACCAUUGAGGACCUGGACGAAGGCACUGAGUGCACCCUCAUUAAGUUUGCAGAUGAUACCAAGUUGGGAGGAAUUAUCAGCAUGCUUAGGGGUAAGAAGGCCAAACAGAGCAAGCUGGACAGGUUGGAUAGUUGGGCUGAGGCUGAUGUUGGUCCUGCACAACAACAAGCCCAAGUGCUGGGUCCUGCACUUCAGUCACAACAACUCCAGACAAUGCUACAGGCACAGCAGGAAAGCUGCAUGGAAGAAAAGGAUCUGGGCAUGUUGGUAGACACUAGGAUGAACAUGGUCCAGCAGUGUUCCCACAUGGCCAAAAAGGCCAUUGGCAUCCUGGCUUGUAUCAGAAACAGUGCAGCCAGCAGGAGUAGGGAGGUGAUCAUCCCUCUGCACUCAGCCCUGGUGAAGCUGAACCUCAAGUACUGUGUUCUUGUUUGGGCCCCUCACUACAAGAAAGACAUUGAGGUCCUGAAGUGUGUCCAGAGAAGAGCAACAAAGCUGAUGAGGGGUCUGGAGCACAGGCCUUAUGAAGAGCGGCUGAAGGAGCUGGGAUUGUUCAGUCUGGAGAAGAGGAGGCUCAGGGGAGACCUUAUCACUCUCUACAGCUCCCUGAAAGAAGGUCAUGGUGAAGUGGGAUUUAGCCUCUUCUGCAGUAUGAACAAUAGUUGCACCAGGAGAGGUUCAGAGUGGAUAUUAUACUUUCUUUUAUCCUCAUCCCUAAGCAUCACUGCUGGCCACCUUUGGUCUUGAUCUAGACAGUGAGACAAGUCCCAUUCUCAGGCUUUAUGCUGCUGGUAAUAUACUUGGUAAUCACUGGAACAAACUACUGCACCUGGCAACUUUGCUCCAAUCCAGAACUGGAAUAGUUUGUACAUCCUUUUUUCUCCCACCUGGUGCUCAUAAGUAUCAUGCACUCAUGGAGGAAAGCAAAUAGCACAUGGGCAACUCCUUCUUACAGGCACUGCUGCUAUUCUCCAGAACUGCUCUGGCACUGCUGUCUUACAUCUCUCAAGAUGCUGAAGGGAUGCUGUUGUUUUUCAUCUUUUUUUGCUAAGGAAACCUGAACAGACCAAGAAGGCUCCUGAAUUCCAUGUGGUGAGAGUCAGGUGGGUCUGUACUGUGUAAAGAAACAUUCAGGCCCUGAUUACAGUGACAGUACUCUUCUCUUCAAAGUCUCCAUAUACAUGCAGGACAUCCUUAAAAGUUCAAAUGAGGUAUUUUUUCCUGUAUGUGCCUAUUCCAGUGACACUUGAUUAAAAAUUCUUGGCAUCAAAAACCUGUUACUGGUUUCAAAACCUAAUGAAAAGUUAUGUUAUACCUGUCAUGAUGCCAUGGCACAGUGGCACAGUGGCACAGUUAAUGCAUUGUUUUUUUGAACCUGCCACCAUUAUGUUGUUGAGUAUGUGAGUCUGAGAUAUAGCUAGGUCACCGUCCUCACAUCACUGUAAGGCAUUCAUGAGAGCUAUCCUGGCCUCCACUGUCUUCUGUCUUCUGAGGGUCUGCUCAAAAGCAGUUCUUGAAAUAACUGUGGCUGGGUGCUUUUAGUUUUUCCAAAAAAUUUAAGGGCAGCCUUUCCCAAAGCUAUAGCGUCUAGCUUUUAUGUGAAUGUCAGACUGCCUCAGGUCACUGUAAAAAAGGUUACAGCAAAUCAUGUUCUGAUGCUGGCGUUCAAGCUCCUAAAUAUCACAGAUGUCAUCUCAAAAUUUUCACCAGAAAAUGUCUGCUAGAUUAAUAUUGCAGUUAACUUGAACAUAGAAGGCUACUGAAAUAAAAAUUAAAACAGAGAUAU
ensembl:lncRNA